GCCUUCGUGGUGUAAUGGUUAGCACAAUCGGUGCAUAUUUGACAGGUCCAGGUUCGAGUCCCGGUGAGAGCA
rnacentral:tRNA from 1 species